AGAAAGCUACGUGCAUUGUUAAAAAACAAUCAUACAUAGAACACACAAACAUACAAUAAAACACUGUUUCCAUUCAAAAUUAUCUUAGAAGAAUAUUUAAUAUCAUAAAAGGAUAUGCACAAUAUGAUGUUGAGUAGAUAAAACAAGUCAAAAAAUGUGUACAAUAUGACUGUCUUAUUGAAUAUAUGUAUUUUUAAACUAGGAUAAAUGCAAACUAUAGAAUAACAGGUGAUUUUUAUUUUCUUGUUUGUGCUUAUCUCUAUUUUCUUAAUGUUUGACAGAAAAAUAAAUGUAUUGUUUUUAAAAUAAGGCAAAAAAUAUUCUGAAAAACUGGUUCCAAUGCACAUCCCGUUGGAGUCGAAAAUGGAUCCUUGAGCUUGCAAGAUAUUGUUGUAUUCAUGCAAUCCCGUCCUCCACAAGUAAGACUUCGGGCUUGCGGUAAGCCAGCCCUAAAGUGUUGCAGGAAGACCAACAGACCUACCACCUGCCUUCAGGGAGCUUAGAGUCUGCUACCCAGACAACCAGAGGAGUUGAACCGCAGCCUUAGAGGUGAGGCCUGGGGGCUGGCCUCUGCCAAGGGCUUCCACUGCCUCCAGUCCCCUGAGUGGUGCCUGUGACCAGGACACGGACCCUGUUGAGGUCCCAUGGGAUCAGGUACCGGCUGAAGUAGCCUGGGCCUCAGAAGGGGUCUGGGGCUGCUCCCCUACCUGCACCCACAUAUCCACCCACAGCAGGCAGCCCGUCCCACCGCCCUUCAGACAUCCACCUGCUCUCUCGCUCUUCCGUCCCCUCCCCUGCCCAUCCCACUCCGUCCUGUCCGGUUUCUUCCCGGCCACCUCCAGAGGGACCUGCUGCUCCGCCCCAAAUCUGUUGCUUGUGCUUCGCUAGAGUUUCUGUCCUUUUCAGCGCCACAUCCUGGGGAAGAAAGAAAGGCGCCCCAGGGCUGGAAGUUCUUCUCGGAGGGAGGGAGUUCCCUGGAGUCUGCAGCAGAUGGGGGAGGCCCCAGUGGGGCGCACGUGGAUGAAUUUCUGGGAGGAAACCAAGUACCAUCCGCUCUCACUCGCUGCCAUCCAGUGUUUUCUUCCCCCAAGACAGAGGAGGGAACCUGCAUCCCAGCUAUUAGGAUGAAGCUGUGUCGCCUUAAGCAAGCCACUUCACUAGUCG
rnacentral:lncRNA from 1 species